rnacentral:rRNA from 1 species
UCAGGAUGAACGCUGGCGGCGUGCUUAACACAUGCAAGUCGAACGAUGAUGCCMRCUUGUNGGUGGAUUAGUGGCGAACGGGUGAGUAACACGUGAGUAACCUGCCCUUGACUCUGGGAUAAGCCUGGGAAACUGGGUCUAAUACCGGAUAUGACCUUCCAUCGCAUGGUGGUUGGUGGAAAGCUUUUGUGGUUUUGGAUGGACUCGCGGCCUAUCAGCUUGUUGGUGGGGUAAUGGCCUACCAAGGCGACGACGGGUAGCCGGCCUGAGAGGGUGACCGGCCACACUGGGACUGAGACACGGCCCAGACUCCUACGGGAGGCAGCAGUGGGGAAUAUUGCACAAUGGGCGCAAGCCUGAUGCAGCGACGCCGCGUGAGGGAUGACGGCCUUCGGGUUGUAAACCUCUUUCAGUAGGGAAGAAGCGAAAGUGACGGU